AGUACAAAGAACUGAGCUAACAGGAUUUUGCUGCCUAUUAUGGUGUUUUUGAUAAGAAUCAUGCGAUUGACGGCGAGAGAUUCAAAUACACGCACGUGCGUUUGUUGACAUAACGGCUCUCAUGGGUCCAACUAAGGGUGUUUCUGACGAUUCUUGUGGGCUUGCUAUAGAGAUUGUA